GAUUAUUGGUUGUCCUCAUUAUUGAUAUAGUAAAAGACUGUUGUUGCUGUCCUGUGGAUGCAGGCACAUAUAGCCGAACCACGUUAAUUCUUGGUGUUGAUUUGUCUUGGUUAUUUGUUUUCGAUUUCCAAAGCUUGUUUUGUUUUUAGAUUCUUAAAUGUGGUAUUCUCAGCAUUUUAAACAUAAUAUGUCAUAAAAUUUUCAAUCCUGCAGUUAUACGCGGUUCGCGAUUUCUAGUAAAAUACUAUAGUGGAAGUCGAGCACCCAUGGUCUACACACACAUUUGACAAAACUUUUCUAGAGACUUCAGCAAAGGAAUUAUAAUAUUAAAAGUGUAAGGAUGUAAGAAUCAAGUUUCGGUCGAUGAUCAAGAUGGUGCCACUUGUCAGCAGAUUAGGUGUUAAAGCUGUUAAGUUUGUUAUGUUUGUUAAGAGAGAGGUUACUUGGAGAGUAGGCAAUGUAAAUUGUAUAAAAGGCAAGUCCUUGUUUUUCAGAACACAGUGAAAAUAUACCAGAAGCAUUUCUCAUUUCUCCCUCUCUCUCGACUUCUCUCCCUACUUUCUGCAAUCUCAGAGCUUCCAUUGAUGACCUGCAAGCUCAAGGUUCAUCAUCCUUACGUGGUAUCCUUUCCGGUGAUGGAGGACUCUCUUCGAUCCUGAUAUCUUUAUGCUUCCGCAAUCUUCUCUGGUUGUUCUCUGGUAUGCGUUCUUCUUUGAUCUUUCUAAAUUGAGCUGAAUCUUGCUUUGCUACCAAUCUUGAAUCUUGCAUAUAUAAUGUUCGAUGAAAUGUGUCAUAAGAUUUCUUCUUCCUUGCUCAUAUCUCUGCACAAAUCUCUCCUCUGAAAAGUCAGUUUUCUCUUCGAAUUAAUCAAGAAAAGUACUCUAAAACCCUAAUUUUCUCAAUUUCUUCAAGAAAUUCCUUCUGCAUCUAUAUUUCUGCUGUGAGAAUUCAGACAAAAUGAUAAAAUCUGCUAUAAUUUUGCUAUCGCAUGUCGUCCCAUUGGAGCUUUGGUUCUAAGCUUCUUUGGCUAAAGGUACUAGUUUCUUUAAUUAUAUACUCUUGACCAUCCAGGAUUUACGAGAGCUUCACUAAUUUAGCCUUUCAGGUUACGUAAUAUUGAGGUGGAAUUUUCCAAUUUGCCAUUAGGUCUUGGCUUUCCUCUUGGAGCUAAUAUCCUUUUCAUCUGUUUAACUUUUUCGUCCCUGCUUUCUUUAGUCAUGAUAGAGACACAAAUGGCUAUCUGGUAAAACUUCGGACUUUUGAUCUAGUACUGUUUUUCGACUUGACAAGUUGCAUUUCUGAGUUAUGUCAUUCUAGCUAUCUCUUCUCUUUUAUACAAACUAGGUUUGGGUAAUUUGAUACUCAAUUUUUCUGUCAAUGAUUGAUUGGGCAACAUCUCCCUGUCCAAUCUCUACUUAAUUGCUCUGGUUUUCGUAACUGGAAACAUUUGUGCAUGCUUUCUGUGGUUCAGAUGGUUUUCGUAACUAGAAACAUCAGUCAAAUUAAACAGUAGCAUUUCACAAUGGCAUCAUCCUUGCAAGAGAGAGUUUACAGAAAAGAACUCAUAUUUGAAGGACGUAGCUCUCAUAUUUUUUACGUGGACAAUGCAUGUGCACUUGUCGCCAUUGAAACAUGAGAGAGCUGGAUUUUGUUUCUCCCUGGUUAUUUUUGUUCGAAAAUUUUCAUUCUGUACCCAAAAAAAAGGACUGACUCAUUGCUAACUUUUAUCCGUUUGUGUUUGGGAUUCUUACAGCUAACGUUUUGUCGCUGAAGGGCAAGUUGGUCCAUCUUUCAGAACCAAGAGUCAUGAACGAUCUUCUGUCCCUAGUUGCUGCACAAUUGAGGAUGAAUUCUGCUUAGCCGCAUCAAGGGCAGAGAAUUGAUGAUGCUAUAAAGAUACUCCCAUAACUUGCAGCACAGAUUGAUGCCAAACUAAACUACAGAAGAAUACAAGAUUUGGGAGAUUUCAAGGGACAAGAUGUAUUCAAGCUCUUAGGGGUCCCUAUAUACCAUACAGAUGGGUCAAAUUCAAGCUUCUCUAAGACAGGAAAGGAAAAAAAAGGGGACCUCGAGGAACUUUCUGAGUUAGAGAAGGCUAUACAACUGUCUUUGGCAGAGGUCACUAGUGUUUCUGCAGAAAAGGCUCUUUCUAAAGAGGAGAAUGGGUUGUGCGUCUUUUAUUGGAACGGUUCUUUUGACACCAUCUGCCGGAAGAUGACUUAUAGUUCUUGAUUGACAUGGAAAUAUAUGUUGCAGUUGACAAGAAUCUCGAAGGAGUGACAUUGAUCAGAGAGUGUUUGGAUGGUCCACACAUGUUUCGAGUCGUGCUUGAUGAUUUGAUCGAAAUUUAUGUGAGCAGACAACAUUAGAUGAAGUCAUUAAGUCAUAUGUUGCAGUCCUUUUGUGCUUAUCUGAGAUUGAAAUGUUAAACCAAUAUGCUUAGUUCUCAUACAAUAGAAAUCUGAGUUGGGUUUUAAUCCUAGUGUGGUUUAUUUGAAUUGGAUUCCCAUUGUUCUCAUCCCAUUGCCGCUUCGUUAACAAGAUCUCUCUCUCUCUCAAUGUUGUAGCGU